rfam:Puccinia graminis f. sp. tritici CRL 75-36-700-3 supercont2.7 genomic scaffold, whole genome shotgun sequence.
CCUGUCAUCGUCUAGUGGUUAGGACACCAGGUUUUGAUCGAUCUAGUUUCGUCCAUCGGACGUCCUGGUAACUUGGGUUCGACUCCCAAUGACAGGU